UACGGAGGGGGCUAGCGUUGUUCGGAAUUACUGGGCGUAAAGCGCACGUAGGCGGCUUUGUAAGUUAGAGGUGAAAGCCCAGGGCUUAACCCUGGAAUUGCCUUUAAGACUGCAUCGCUAGAAUCGUGGAGAGGUGAGUGGAAUUCCGAGUGUAGAGGUGAAAUUCGUAGAUAUUCGGAAGAAACACCAGUGGCGAAGGCGACUCACUGGACACGUAUUGACGCUGAGGUGCGAAAAGCGUGGGGAGCAAACAGGGAU
rnacentral:rRNA from 1 species